rnacentral:rRNA from 1 species
ACAAAGAGCAGCAAGUUCGCGAGGACAAGCAAAUCUCAUAAACCGUGGCUCAGUUCAUAUCGUAGGCUGCAACUCGCCUACGUGAAGGAGGAAUCGCUAGUAAUCGCAGGUCAGCAUACUGCGGUGAAUACGUUCCCGGGCCUUGUACACACCGCCCGUCACACCAUGGAAGUUGGCCACGCCCGAAGCCGUUACUCCAACCCUUGUGGAGGAGGACGUCGAAGGUGGGGCUGAUGACUGGGGUGAAGUCGUAACAAGGUAGCCGUACCGGAAGGUGCGGCUGGAUCACCUCCUAAC